AGGGAUUGCCUCAGUAACGGCGAGUGAAGCGGCAACAGCUCAAAUUUGAAAUCUGGCCCUCUCGGGGUCCGAGUUGUAAUUUGUAGAGGGUGCUUCGGGCGCGAUGCCGGUCUAAGUUCCUUGGAACAGGACGUCGUAGAGGGUGAGAAUCCCGUAUGCGACCGGCGAUCAAGCCCGUGCGAAGCCCCUUCGACGAGUCGAGUUGUUUGGGAAUGCAGCUCAAAAUGGGUGGUAAAUUUCAUCUAAAGCUAAAUACCGGCCAGAGACCGAUAGCGGACAAGUAGAGUGAUCGAAAGAUGAAAAGCACUUUGGAAAGAGAGUCAAACAGUACGUGAAAUUGUUGAAAGGGAAGCGCUUGCAAUCAGACCGGUCCGGAGGCGAUCAGCCGCUGCUCGUCAGCGGUGCACUCGCCUGCGAUCCGGCCAGCAUCGGUUUGGGCGGCGGGAUAAAAGUCCCGGGAAUGUAGCUUCUCCCGGGGAGUCUUAUAGCCCGGGUCGCAAUGCCGCCCGCCCGGACCGAGGACCGCGCUUCGGCUAGGAUGCUGGCGUAAUGGUUGCAAGCGACCCGUCUUGAAACACGGACCAAGGAGUCUAACAUCCAUGCGAGUGUUUGGGUGUCAAACCCAGGCGCGGAAUGAAAGUGAACGGAGGUGGGAACCCGUCAGACGGCGCACCAUCGACCGAUCCAGAUGUCUUCGGAUGGAUUUGAGUAUGAGCAUGGCUGUUGGGACCCGAAAGAUGGUGAACUAUGCCCGGAUAGGGUGAAGCCAGAGGAAACUCUGGUGGAGGCUCGCAGCGGUUCUGACGUGCAAAUCGAUCGUCAAAUCUAGGCAUAGGGGCGAAAGACCAAUCGAACCAUCUAGUAGCUGGUUCCUGUCGAAGUUUCCCUCAGGAUAGCAGUAACGUUUUCAGUUUUAUGAGGUAAAGCGAAUGAUUAGAGGCCUUGGGGCUGAAACAGCCUUAACCUAUUCUCAAACUUUAAAUAUGUAAGAAGUCCUUGUUACUUAGUUGAACGUGGACAUUUGAAUG
rnacentral:rRNA from 1 species